AUUGAACGCUGGCGGCAGGCCUAACACAUGCAAGUCGAGCGGAUGAAGGGAGCUUGCUCCUGGAUUCAGCGGCGGACGGGUGAGUAAUGCCUAGGAAUCUGCCUGGUAGUGGGGGAUAACGUCCGGAAACGGGCGCUAAUACCGCAUACGUCCUGAGGGAGAAAGUGGGGGAUCUUCGGACCUCACGCUAUCAGAUGAGCCUAGGUCGGAUUAGCUAGUUGGUGGGGUAAAGGCCUACCAAGGCGACGAUCCGUAACUGGUCUGAGAGGAUGAUCAGUCACACUGGAACUGAGACACGGUCCAGACCUCUACGGGAGGCAGCAGUGGGGAAUAUUGGACUAUGGGCGAAAGCCUGAUCCAGCCAUGCCGCGUGUGUGAAGAAGGUCUUCGGAUUGUAAAGCACUUUAAGUUGGGAGGAAGGGCAGUAAGUUAAUACCUUGCUGUUUUGACGUUACCAACAGAAUAAGCACCGGCUAACUUCGUG
rnacentral:rRNA from 1 species